UACAGAGGUCCCAAGCGUUGUUCGGAUUCACUGGGCGUAAAGGGUGCGUAGGCGGUCGGGUAAGUCUGAUGUGAAAUCUCACAGCUUAACUGUGAAACUGCAUUGGAUACUAUCCGGCUCGAGGAGUGGAGGGGAGACUGGAAUACUUGGUGUAGCAGUGAAAUGCGUAGAUAUCAAGUGGAACACCAGUGGCGAAGGCGAGUCUCUGGACAUUUCCUGACGCUGAGGCACGAAAGCCAGGGGAGCAAACGGG
rnacentral:rRNA from 1 species